rnacentral:rRNA from 1 species
UCGGGAAUUUUGGGCAAUGGGCGCAAGCCUGAUCCAGCCAUGCCGCGUGAGUGACGAAGGCCUUAGGGUUGUAAAGCUCUUUUGGCGGGGAAGAUAAUGACGGUACCCGCAGAAUAAGCUCCGGCUAACUUCGUGCCAGCAGCCGCGGUAAUACGAAGGGAGCUAGCGUUGUUCGGAAUCACUGGGCGUAAAGCGCACGUAGGUGGGCAGUUAAGUCAGGGGUGAAAGCCCGAGGCUCAACCUCGGAAUUGCCUCUGAUACUGGCUGUCUAGAGUUCGAGAGAGGUGAGUGGAAUUCCUAGUGUAGAGGUGAAAUUCGUAGAUAUUAGGAAGAACACCGGUGGCGAAGGCGGCUCACUGGCUCGAUACUGACGCUGAGGCACGAAAGCGUGGGUAGCGAACGGGAUUAGAUACCCCCGUAGUCCCUGAGCGGGCUGGCAAGGCGCAU